GUCCGGAAUUACUGGGCGUAAAGAGCUUGUAGGCGGUCUGUCGCGUCUGCUGUGAAAAUCCGGGGCUCAACCCCGGACUUGCAGUGGGUACGGGCAGACUAGAGUGUGGUAGGGGAGACUGGAAUUCCUGGUGUAGCGGUGAAAUGCGCAGAUAUCAGGAGGAACACCGAUGGCGAAGGCAGGUCUCUGGGCCACUACUGACGCUGAGAAGCGAAAGCAUGGGGAGCGAACAGG
rnacentral:rRNA from 1 species